UGUAGGAAUGCAGAAAAAUGUUAUGAAAGUUUUUCAGUAAAUGAUUGGGUAAACAGACAGAGCCCAAGGUUAAACCAGGGUGCCUUUUGUUGGCUUGUAGCUUGGGCAGUAUUGUCCAGGCUAGUCCAAUGGCAAGAUCUAUAAAUCAACUCUACCCUGGUUGCUAUAUCCAGCCAGAGUGCUAAUGCUGGUGUUAUUAGAUAAUUUUGUAAAUUCAGGAUUAAAAAAUUGAUGUAACAUGAUAUUGUUAUGCAAGGAUAACUAGGCCCUCCAGAACAAUACUGAAUAGAAGUGAGAAUGGAUGUCCUUGAAUUGUUCCUGAUUUCAAAGGAAAAAUACUUUUUAACAUCUCAACAUUAAAUAUUUACUGUUA